rnacentral:rRNA from 2 species
CCCAUUCCGAACUCAGAAGUGAAACGAAAUAGCGCCGAUGGUAGUGUGGGGUUUCCCCAUGUGAGAGUAGGACAUCGCCAGGC